rnacentral:lncRNA from 1 species
CGCUCGCCGAGCCUCGGCGCGUCGCCGCCAGCGAAGUUCUGGAGUCUGGGGCGCCCGCCCCGCGCUGAGGCACCCCAACUUUCACGGCUCCCAGAAACACUCCCCCGGCGGGGGGAGGGGGCCGCGGAACCGCGAGCAGGAGUGGCUUUUGUCCCUCAUCCUUGUUUACUCGAAGAAACUUCAGACCGGACGUGUUUAGUCAGAACAGAAAUACAUCUCAGGGCCAAACCGAUAGGAAACGAGGCUGCCUUGCAGUGCCACCGCCUCCCCAGCCUGGUCCCGAGCCCUGGGGCUUGCUGCUCCUCCCUCCGAGCAAAGUUUUAUGCAAAGAGGGUAUUUUUUUAAGGAAUCGGGAAAACUUUCGAUGCACGAUGAUUUCUUUUUUCUUUCCUUUUUUUUUACGGCCUAUAAUUUUAAAAGGUCAACUCACUUGGUCUCCUUAUUUAUUUUGUGUCUACCGCAAAUCAACAAUUUGGCAGCAUAAGUUUUUUUGACCUUUGGUUUUGUUGUUUAAAAAUGGCUUUGCAGAUUUAAAAAUUGUUUAAAUGACCCGUAAGAAAUUCAGAACCGACACAGGCAGAUAAGAUAUACAUAACAUAUAUGGAAUAUCCAGGCUUUUUGAGAUUACACCGAAGGACCGUCUUUUGGUUGGCAUAGCCACUUCUAGGAAUCGGAUAUCAUUGCCAUGUUCCCGUCUGGUUUUAUGGGAAGUUAAUGUCACUACUGUGUUAAGUAAUGAGUACCUUGGUUUUCAUUCGCUCCCUAAGCACAUUUAAGCUGUUAAACAUCAUAAUUUCAUUGCUAACAUCAAACACUUAAUUUAAU